rnacentral:rRNA from 1 species
GAUGAACGCUAGCGAUAGGCUUAACACAUGCAAGUCGAGGGGCAGCGAGGGUAGCAAUACCUGUCGGCGACCGGCGCACGGGUGAGUAACGCGUAUGUAACCUGCCCGCAACAGGGGGAUAACCCGGCGAAAGUCGGACUAAUACCGCAUAAAACAGGGGUCCCGCAUGGGAAUAUUUGUUAAAGAUUUAUCGGUUGCGGAUGGGCAUGCGUACCAUUAGGUAGUUGGUGAGGUAACGGCUCACCAAGCCUUCGAUGGUUAGGGGUUCUGAGAGGAAGGUCCCCCACACUGGUACUGAGACACGGACCAGACUCCUACGGGAGGCAGCAGUGAGGAAUAUUGGUCAAUGGGCGAGAGCCUGAACCAGCCAAGUCGCGUGAAGGAUGACUGCCCUAUGGGUUGUAAACUUCUUUUACAAGGGAAUAAAACGAGAUACGUGUAUUUUAUUGCAUGUACCUUGGGAAUAAGCAUCGGCUAACUCCGUG